rnacentral:rRNA from 1 species
AACGAACGCUGGCGGCAGGCUUAACACAUGCAAGUCGAGCGCCCCGCAAGGGGAGCGGCAGACGGGUGAGUAACGCGUGGGAAUCUACCCAGCUCUACGGAACAACUCCGGGAAACUGGAGCUAAUACCGUAUACGUCCUUCGGGAGAAAGAUUUAUCGGAGUUGGAUGAGCCCGCGUUGGAUUAGCUAGCUGGUGGGGUAAUGGCCUACCAAGGCGACGAUCCAUAGCUGGUCUGAGAGGAUGAUCAGCCACACUGGGACUGGGACACGGCCCAGACUCCUACGGGAGGCAGCAGUGGGGAAUAUUGGACAAUGGGCGAAAGCCUGAUCCAGCCAUGCCGCGUGAGUGAUGAAGGCCCUAGGGUUGUAAAGCUCUUUCACCGGUGAAGAUAAUGACGGUAACCGGAGAAGAAGCCCCGGCUAACUUCGUGCCAGCCGCCGCCGUAAAAC